rnacentral:rRNA from 1 species
UACAGAGGUCCCAAGCGUUGUUCGGAUUCACUGGGCGUAAAGGGUGCGUAGGUGGUUGGGUAAGUCUGAUGUGAAAUCUCUGAGCUUAACUCGGAAAUGGCAUUGGAUACUAUUCGGCUAGAGGGUUUGAGGGGGGACUGGAAUACUUGGUGUAGCAGUGAAAUGCGUAGAUAUCAAGUGGAACACCAGUGGCGAAGGCGAGUCCCUGGAAAACUCCUGACACUGAGGCACGAAAGCUAGGGGAGCAAACAGG